rfam:Ornithorhynchus anatinus chromosome 4, whole genome shotgun sequence.
CACCUCUCAGGGUUGUACCUGGAGAGUUUCGAGUACUCUACCAGCCUCGGCUACGGGAGGAAAAGUCAAGCAGAGGCCUACCCAUUUCUUUCCUAGCUUGGCCAGUGGCUAGCAAGUGGAAGGCAAUCUGCCAUAAGU